rnacentral:rRNA from 1 species
UCAGGAUGAACGCUGGCGGCGUGCCUAACACAUGCAAGACGAACGGGGUAUAUAAGCGGAAGUUUACGGAUGGAAGGUUAUAUACUUAGUGGCGGACGGGUGAGUAACGCGUGGGCAACCUGCCCCGUGCCGGGGGAUACCGCCUGGAAACAGGCGCUAAUACCGCAUAAGCGCAUACAGCCGCAUGGGUGUAUGCGGAAAGCUCCGGCGGCACGGGAUGGGCCCGCGCCCGAUUAGCCAGUUGGCGGGGUAACGGCCCACCAAAGCGACGAUCGGUAGCCGGCCUGAGAGGGCGGACGGCCACAUUGGGACUGAGACACGGCCCAAACUCCUACGGGAGGCAGCAGUGGGGAAUAUUGCACAAUGGGGGAAACCCUGAUGCAGCAACGCCGCGUGGGUGAAGGAGCGUUUCGGUGCGUAAAGCCCUGUCAGCGGGGAAGAAGAAAGACGGUACCCGACCAAGAAGCCCCGGCUAACUACGUGCCAGCAGCCGCGGUAAUACGUAGGGGGCGAGCGUUAUCCGGAAUUACUGGGUGUAAAGGGAGCGUAGACGGCGAGGUAAGCCUGAAGUGGAAGCCCGCGGCCCAACCGCGGAACUGCUUUGGGAACUGUUUUGCUGGAG